rnacentral:rRNA from 1 species
ACUCAAAGGAAUAGACGGGGGCUCACACAAGCGGUGGAGCAUGUGGCUUAAUUCGAGGCUACGCGAAGAACCUUAUCCUGGGCUUGACAUGUCCGAAAGGGAUAGGAAGUAGGGGACGGAAACGCACCCCCAACGGUAUCCAAUCCGGAACCUAUCACAGGUGCUGCAUGGCUGUCGUCAGCUCGUGUCGUGAGAUGUCGGGUUAAGUCCCAUAACGAGCGAAACCCUUGUCUCCAGUUGCCAGCGAGUCAUGUCGGGGACUCUGGAGAGACUGCCGGUGUUAAACCGGAGGAAGGCGGGGAUGACGUCAAGUCCUCAUGGCCUUUAUGCCCAGGGCUGCACACGUGCUACAAUGCCGCAUACAAAGGGACGCCAACGCGCAAGCGGGAGCAAAUCCCAAAAAAUGCGGCUCAGUUCAGAUUGCAGGCUGCAACUCGCCUGCAUGAAGUUGGAAUCGCUAGUAAUCGCGGGUCAGCAACACCGCGGUGAAUGUGUUCCUGAGCCUUGCACACACCGCCCGU